rnacentral:rRNA from 1 species
UACAGAGGUGGCAAGCGUUGUUCGGAAUUACUGGGCAUAAAGCGCGUGUAGGCGGCUCUUCAAGUCAGGCGUGAAAGCCCCGGGCUCAACUCGGGAACUGCGCUUGAUACUGUCGAGCUAGAGUGUGGAAGGGGCGAUUGGAAUUCCGUGUGUAGCGGUGAAAUGCGUAGAUAUACGGAGGAACACCAGAGGCGAAGGCGGAUCGCUGGGCCAACACUGACGCUGAGACGCGAAAGCUAGGGUAGCAAACGGG